rnacentral:rRNA from 1 species
UAAUACAUGCAAGUCGAGCGGACUUGAAGAGAAGCUUGCUUCUCUGAUGGUUAGCGGCGGACGGGUGAGUAACACGUAGGCAACCUGCCCUCAAGCUUGGGACAACUACCGGAAACGGUAGCUAAUACCGAAUACUUGCUUUCUUCGCCUGAAGGAAGCUGGAAAGACGGAGCAAUCUGUCACUUGAGGAUGGGCCUGCGGCGCAUUAGCUAGUUGGUGAGGUAACGGCUCACCAAGGCGACGAUGCGUAGCCGACCUGAGAGGGUGAUCGGCCACACUGGGA